rnacentral:rRNA from 1 species
AUUGAACGCUGGCGGAAUGCUUUACACAUGCAAGUCGAGCGGCAGCGCGGGGGCAACCCUGGCGGCGAGCGGCGAACGGGUGAGUAAUACAUCGGAACAUGUCCAGUCGUGGGGGAUAGCCCGGCGAAAGCCGGAUUAAUACCGCAUGAGCUCGAGAGAGGAAAGCGGGGGACCGUAAGGCCUCGCGCGACUGGGUUGGCCGAUGUCCGAUUAGCUAGUUGGUGGGGUAAAGGCCACCAAGGCGAUGAUCGGUAGCUGGUCUGAGAGGAUGAUCAGCCACACUGGGACUGAGACACGGCCCAGACUCCUACGGGAGGCAGCAGUGGGGAAUUUUGGACAAUGGGGAAACCUGAUCCCGCCAUUCCGCGUGAGUGAAGAAGGCCUGG